rnacentral:lncRNA from 1 species
UAGAGAUCCCAAAAUUAAGCGGUUGCCGUGGCUUUAUGGCUAGCUUUCUCUCAAAUCCACACACAGGACAGGUUCACAGGUGCACCUCAUCCCCAGCAAGCACUGUGUGCUGGCCCAGUGAAGCGUCCAUCCCCAGCCAGCCACAGCAGGCCUGACCAAAAGGGGAUCUUGCCAGGCUGAUCUCAGGAUUCAGCUUGCCGGUGCAACUGAGGUAGACAAAGCUUCAAACUACCUAAGGACCAGAGAACCUUGUGCCCCUUGUGGAAGAUGUGCUAGUAUGGGCUGCCAGGUUGACCACACUGUGUCUCCCCUAGCCGCAGGUCGAAGAGCAUCUAUUAAUUCAAAUUCCAGACCCUUUCUUUUCUUUUCUUUCUUUCUUUUUUUUUUGUCAAGGCUCUGCAUUCUCUUAGUUUUAAGUUUUAGUUCUGUGAUUUUAUUUUCCUUGUUCAGUUCAUGUUUCACAAAUGUUCGAGGGGGGUGGGUUAUUUGUUUUUGUUUUUUGUUUUUUCUUUGCAGUUAAACGCUAUGGUUCAAACCUGAGUUAACCCAAAUAUUUCUGCCGACUUUAUAAUUGUACAGUUUUGUAUAUUAAACGUUUUUGAAGUUAUUAAUUUAAAAAAGAUCAUUUAGUUUAUUCAUUUAGUAA